rnacentral:rRNA from 1 species
AUUGAACGCUGGCGGCAGGCCUAACACAUGCAAGUCGAGCGGAUGAAGGGGGCUUGCUCCUGGAUUCAGCGGCGGACGGGUGAGUAAUGCCUAGGAAUCUGCCUGGUAGUGGGGGAUAACGUCCAGAAACGGGCGCUAAUACCGCAUACGUCCUGAGGGAGAAAGUGGGGGAUCUUCGGACCUCACGCUAUCAGAUGAGCCUAGGUCGGAUUAGCUAGUUGGUGGGGUAAAGGCCUACCAAGGCGACGAUCCGUAACUGGUCUGAGAGGAUGAUCAGUCACACUGGAACUGAGACACGGUCCAGACUCCUACGGGAGGCAGCAGUGGGGAAUAUUGGACAAUGGGCGAAAGCCUGAUCCAGCCAUGCCGCGUGUGUGAAGAAGGUCUUCGGAUUGUAAAGCACUUUAAGUUGGGAGGAAGGGCAGUAAGUUAAUACCUUGCUGUUUUGACGUUACCAACAGAAUAAGCACCGGCUAACUUCGUG